GUGCCAGCAGCCGCGGUAAUACGGAAGGUCCGGGCGUUAUCCGGAUUUAUUGGGUUUAAAGGGAGCGCAGGCUGGAGAUUAAGCGUGACGUGAAAUGCCGCGGCUCAACCGUGGAAGUGCGUCGCGAACUGGUUUUCUUGAGUGGGUUCGACGCCGGCGGAAUUCGUGGUGUAGCGGUGAAAUGCUUAGAUAUCACGAAGAACCCCGAUUGCGAAGGCAGCCGGCGAGGCCUUUACUGACGCUAAAGCUCGAAGGUGCGGGUAUCGAACAGGAUUAGAUACCCUGGUAGUCCGCACGGUAAACGAUGGAUGCCCGCUGUCGGCGAUAUAAUGUCGGUGGCCAAGCGAAAGCGUUAAGCAUCCCACCUGGGGAGUACGCCGGCAACGGUGAAACUCAAAGGAAUUGACGGGGGCCCGCACAAGCGGAGGAACAUGUGGUUUAAUUCGAUGAUACGCGAGGAACCUUACCCGGGCUUGAACUGCAGCAGAACGGUUGAGAGAUCAUGAGGCCCUUCGGGGCUGCUGUGGAGGUGCUGCAUGGUUGUCGUCAGCUCGUGCCGUGAGGUGUCGGCUUAAGUGCCAUAACGAGCGCAACCCUUGCUGUCAGUUGCCAUCAGGUGAUGCUGGGCACUCUGGCAGGACUGCCACCGUAAGGUGUGAGGAAGGUGGGGAUGACGUCAAAUCAGCACGGCCCUUACGUCCGGGGCUACACACGUGUUACAAUGGGUGGUACAGAGAGCAAGUCCCCAGCAAUGUGGAUUGAAUCAUGAAAGCCAUCCUCAGUUCGGACCGGGGUCUGCAACCCGACCCCGCGAAGCUGGAUUCGCUAGUAAUCGCGCAUCAGCCAUGGCGCGGUGAAUACGUUCCCGGGCCUUGUACACACCGCCCGU
rnacentral:rRNA from 1 species